rnacentral:rRNA from 1 species
AGCGAACGCUGGCGGCAGGCCUAACACAUGCAAGUCGAACGAACCUUUCGGGGUUAGUGGCGGACGGGUGAGUAACACGUGGGAACGUGCCUUUAGGUUCGGAAUAACUCAGGGAAACUUGUGCUAAUACCGAAUGUGCUCUUCGGGGGAAAGAUUUAUCGCCUUUAGAGCGGCCCGCGUCUGCUUAGCUAGGUGGUUGAGGAAAUGGCUCACCAAGGCGACGAUCAGUAGGUGGUCUGAGAGGAAGGUCAGCCACAUUGGGACUGAGACACGGCCGGGACUCCUACGGGAGGCAGGAGUGGGGAAUCUAGCGCAAUGGGCGAAAGCCUGACGCAGCCAUGCCGCGUGAAUGAUGAAGGUCGUAGGAAUGUAAAAUUCUUUCACCGGGGACGAUAAUGACGGUACCCGGAGAAGAAGCCCCGGCUAACUUCGUG